rnacentral:rRNA from 1 species
UGGGGAAUUUUGCACAAUGGAGGAAACUCUGAUGCAGCGACGCCGCGUGAGUGAUGAAGAUCUUCGGAUUGUAAAACUCUGUCCUUAGUGAAGAUAAUGACAGUAACUAAGAAGCAAGCCCUGGCUAAAUACGUGCCAGCAGCCGCGGUAAUACGUAUGGGGCGAGCGUUGUCCGGAAUUAUUGGGCGUAAAGGGUACGUAGGCGGUUUAAUAAGUCCUAAUUAAAAGGCUAUGGCUCAACCAUAGUAUGGUUAGGAAACUGUUGAACUUGAGUAGAUGAGGGGAAAGUGGAAUUCCAUGUGUAGCGGUGAAAUGCGUAGAUAUAUGGAGGAACACCAAUGGCGAAGGCAACUUUCUGGAAUCAAACUGACGCUGAGGUACGAAGGCGUGGGGAGCAAACAGG